rnacentral:rRNA from 1 species
AGAGUUUGAUCAUGGCUCAGAACGAACGUUGGCGGCGUGGAUUAGGCAUGCAAGUCGAACGAAUCCCAGGGGGGUAACUCUCUGGGGGAAGUGGCGAAAGGGGCAGUAAGGCAUGGGUAACCUACCCCGGGGACGGGGAUAGCCAUCCUAACGGAUGGGUAAUACCUGGCGAUCUGGCGAGGAGACAUCUCUUUGCCAGGAAAUGAGUUUCGCCUCGGGAGGGGCCCAUGUGGUAUUAGCUUGUUGGUGAGGUAACGGCUCACCAAGGCCAAGAUGCCUAGCAGGUGUGAGAGCACGACCUGCGCCACUGGCACUGAGACACUGGCCAGACUCCUACGGGAGGCUGCAGUCGAGGAUCUUCGGCAAUGGGCGCAAGCCUGACCGAGCGACGCCGCGUGUGCGAAGAAGGCCUUCGGGUUGUAAAGCACUGUCGAGGGGGAGGAAGGCCCGCAAGGGUUUGACCUAUCCCUGGAGGAAGCACGGGCUAAGUUCGUGCCAGCAGCCGCGGUAAGACGAACCGUGCGAACGUUGUUCGGAAUCACUGGGCUUAAAGGGCGCGUAGGCGGGCGAUCAAGUCAGGGGUGAAAUCCGGCAGCUUAACUGUCGAAUAGCUUCUGAUACUGGUCGUCUUGAGGGGGGUAGGGGCAUGUGGAACUUCCGGUGGAGCGGUGAAAUGCGUAGAUAUCGGAAGGAACGCCGGUGGCGAAAGCGACGUGCUGGACCCUUUCUGACGCUGAGGCGCGAAAGCCAGGGGAGCAAACGGGAUUAGAUACCCCUGUAGUCC